UACGUAGGGACCAAGCGUUGUUCGGAUUCACUGGGCGUAAAGGGCGCGUAGGCGGUGCGUUAAGUCAGGCGUGAAAGCCCCGGGCUCAACCCGGGAAUAGCGCUUGAUACUGUUGCGCUUGAAUCCAGGAGAGGAUGGCGGAAUUCCCAGUGUAGAGGUGAAAUUCGUAGAUAUUGGGAAGAACACCAGUGGCGAAGGCGGCCAUCUGGCCUGGAAUUGACGCUGAGGCGCGAAAGCGUGGGGAGCAAACAGG
rnacentral:rRNA from 1 species